rnacentral:rRNA from 1 species
CGGACGGGUGAGUAAUGUCUGGGAAACUGCCUGAUGAGGGGGAUAACUACUGGAAACGGUAGCUAAUACCGCAUAACGUCGCAAGACCAAAGAGGGGGACCUUCGGGCCUCUUGCCAUCGGAUGUGCCCAGAUGGGAUUAGCUAGUAGGUGGGGUAAUGGCUCACCUAGGCGACGAUCCCUAGCUGGUCUGAGAGGAUGACCAGCCACACUGGAACUGAGACACGGUCCAG